GAUUAUAGGGGGAAGCAUCGCCGGAAUAUCUUGCGCUCACACCCUUACUAUAGCCGGCUGGGACGUUCAGGUUCUCGAAAAAUCCCCCACGCCGCCGACCGACUGUUCCACCGGCGCUGGACUCGGCCUCGAUCCUCUCUCUCAGAGGCUCCUCCAGUCGUGGCUUUCCCGUCCUGAACUUCUCCUCGAAUCCACUUCGCCCCUUACGACGGAGCAGAAUCGAGCAAUUGAUGGAGAAAGCAAGAGGGGACGGAUCUUGAC
rnacentral:misc_RNA from 1 species